rnacentral:rRNA from 1 species
CAGUUCGGAUCGCAGGCUGCAACCCGCCUGCGUGAAGUUGGAAUUGCUAGUAAUCGCGGAUCAGCAAGCCGCGGUGAAUACGUUCCCGGGCCUUGUACACACCGCCCGUCACACCAUGAGAGUCGGGAACACCCGAAGUCCGUAGUCUAACCGCAAGGAGGGCGCGGCCGAAGGUGGGUUCGAUAAUUGGGGUGAAGUCGUAACAAGGUAAC